GACGAAGGGGGCUAGCGUUGUUCGGAAUUACUGGGCGUAAAGCGCGUGUAGGCGGUUAUCCAAGUCGGGUGUGAAAGCCCCCGGCUCAACUGGGGAGGGUCACUCGAUACUGAUCGACUUGAAGGCAGGAGAGGGAAGCGGAAUUCCCGGUGUAGUGGUGAAAUGCGUAGAUAUCGGGAGGAACACCAGUGGCGAAGGCGGCUUCCUGGCCUGUUCUUGACGCUGAGGCGCGAAAGCUAGGGGAGCAAACGGG
rnacentral:rRNA from 1 species